rnacentral:rRNA from 1 species
CUGGAACGGCUGCUAAUACCCGAUGUGCCGAGAGGUGAAACAUUUAUGGCCUGAGGAUGAGCUCGCGUCUGAUUAGCUAGUUGGUGGGGUAAGAGCCUACCAAGGCGACGAUCAGUAGCUGGUCUGAGAGGAUGAUCAGCCACACUGGGACUGAGACACGGCCCAGACUCCUACGGGAGGCAGCAGUGGGGAAUUUUCCGCAAUGGGCGCAAGCCUGACGGAGCAAGACCGCGUGCGGGAGGACGGCCUAUUGGUUGUAAACCGCUUUUGAUAGGGAAGAAGCUCUGACGGUACCUAUCGAAUCAGCAUCGGCUAACUCCGUGCCAGCAGCCGCGGUAAUACGGAGGAUGCAAGCGUUAUCCGGAAUUAUUGGGCGUAAAGCGUCCGUAGGUGGUUGUUCAAGUCUGCUGUUAAAGCGUGCGGCUUAACCGCAUACCAGCAGUGGAAACUGGACGACUAGAGUGCGGUAGGGGUCAGGGGAAUUCCCAGUGUAGCGGUGAAAUGCGUAGAUAUUGGGAAGAACACCGGUGGCGAAAGCGCCUGACUGGACCUGCACUGACACUGAGGGACGAAAGCUAGGGGAGCGAAAGGGAUUAGAUACCCCCC